rnacentral:lncRNA from 1 species
GCUGCAGAUGGGGCCUGAGAUGACAAACACUUCUGAGACAGGUUCUGAAUUCAGCAUGGUUUACUUUGCUGUGAGAUAUCGCUCAACACUGUAAAUUUUUUCUUUUCAGGUGGUCAGGUAGAAAGCACUAUUUGGAUGGACUUCACCUUGGAUUUCCUACUUCUGGAUGAAAUUAGGGAAAUCAUCUGAUACUCAAAGAGGAGGCAUGAUGGCAGCCAAACCACUCAGUGAGAGUGCUGGGAUGAGAACUCAGAUCUCCUGGGAUCUUUCCACUCCAGUCCUCUGUUAAUCUUCAUCUAUUUCUCCAUGUCCAUCAGUAUCAAGCACAGAAUUCUACAGUCUUUUCGUAGAGAUCGACCAAAAGAUGGCAGCCAGCUGUGUUUGUCCUCAAGGUACCAUGUUGGGAAGGUAAAGAGAACUGGGAGCUCCAGGAUGUGGGCUCUCCAGUCUGCAGAUUCUAAGGUAAUGCCUUCUCUCUCCAGCAUCCCUAUGGGGAAUCAAGGACACAAUGCAUGUUGAGCACUUGGUAUGUGUCAGGAGCUGGGUAAGUGGCAUUUUCCUUUGCUCUUUCUCAGGACACCCCACUGGCAGCUCCUGGCAGCCCCUCAGGGAAACCUUACAGGGGGUCCUUCCAGGUAGAAGAGCAACUCCUUUAUCUUGGCAGGCAGGGCUCACCCAUGUUUGUGGCCUCAGAAGGACCUGCUGGAUGGCUUAGCACCUGGACAGCAGGCUGUGGUCUCGCAGUCCCUUUCAGAGCAGCAUCUGUUCCGCUGGGCUCCUAUCAAGCUCUCUGGGGGCAGCUCUGCCCUUGCACCACUUUUUUAAAGAACAGCCCACCCAUUGCUCUAUGGGGAUAGGGGGACCUACCACUUACUUAACUAAUUUACUUUUCAGUAAGACUGAGAAGGGAAAAAAUGAGUCAUGAGCUGAGGCUGGGGGCCCAGCUCUUGCCCCACAGAGGGUCACUAUGCAGUGCCAUGAGGUGGGUCAUUUCUAGAGCAAACUUCGCUCCCCUUGGCUUGGCCCAACUUUUAAUAAGUCCACACUGACUCAUUCUCUUUUGCUUCAAGGAAACUGUUAAAUUCACUAGAACUUGCCAUGGUGUGACAGUGUAGAGCCCAUCCGUUCUUCCUGGCAUUGUCUGGUUUUACAGACAGAACAUAUUUGGUGAAAGCCCCAAGAUUUUAUGUCCUGUCUCUAUAGGUUGUGAAUUUUCUUGAGUAAUCUCUGUUCCAAAUAUUCUGCUUUACUGAUCCUAGAAACCACCCACAUGAAAAUGUUUUAGUAUGUAUUUUUUC